GUCUAAGGAGAGGAGAGUCCAGUGAGUGACCCAGACGCCCCAGCCAGGAAGAGCAUGAGGUGCGAAGGGGGCUUCCCAGAUGGAGAGAAACAGAUGGUCCCAGAGUGGCUUGGAGACAGGUGCAACAUCAGUGUUGGGGGAGGACAUGGAGCGGAGCGUUCAGGGCUAUCAGGAGGGAGCCCCGUGGCCACGGUGCAAGAUCUAGGCAGGCGGGACAGACAUGGUCAGGAUGCUGGGGACACAGCAUGGGGAAUCCAGCACACAGGACACCAUCCAGCAGGAAAGCAAAGCUGCAGCCUGAGAUCUCCUUCCACCAACUCCUGGCAUGGCCAGAAAGUUAGCCAGAAACACCAGAAAGUGCCAGGCAGCUAGGAAGCAUGGGGAGAGCCCCCUGAAGCUGCGUGUGUAGUGCCUGCUUCCGCUGCCAUCCCAGAAAUGGACGAGCUUCACCCUGAGAACCCAGCCACACCACUGGGACACAUCCUGACAGUGACAUGCACACUCUUCCCUGGCCCCAGCCUGGAGAGGAGCCUCCUGAAGACACCAGCCUUUGCUCCUUCUCCCAGUGGGAG
ensembl:lncRNA MTA1-DT MTA1 divergent transcript